GUCUAUGACCGCGCCACCCUGAACGUACCCGAUGCCAUCUGAUCUCGGAGGCUAAGCAGGGGCGGGCCUGGUUAGUACUUGGAUGGGAGACCACCUAGGAGGACCAGUUGCUAUAGGCG
rnacentral:rRNA from 1 species